CUGCGCAGCCAUGUUCGGACCCAAAGGUAUGCUCCCCACGCCCCCGCCCGACCCAGCCCUCCAUAGCCCCUGGCCACCCCUAACCUGCCCUCUACCUCUCUGCAGGCUUUGGGCGUGGCGGAGCCGAGAGCCACACUUUCAAGUAAACCCAGGUUUUGGAGACCCAUCUCCAGCUGCCCGCUGGGCUGCUGCCCUCCAGGCUGAUGGCAGGCCUUUCUCCACAGGCACCUGGGGCUCCCCUCUAGACCCCCAUGCCCUCAAUAAAGGUGGACACUUGGGAGGCCUGCUCGUGUAUUCGCAUCCCCGGAGCAACGGUGCAGGGGCGUGGCCAGGGUCCUCCUGGGGGUCCCCACGCCAGGCCAGCGCGCUCCCGCUUGCUGCCUGCUGCCCUGGCGGGGCAGGGCUGCUCUGCGGGGAGCCAUGCUGUCCAGCCCCUCGUCCAGAUGUGCAGCCCUCCUCUCUCGUUCUGGAACGGGUCAGCAGGAACAGAGGGCGCAGGGGAAUCGCUGAGCUGGUUCCGCUUUUGAGAAGCUUUGGGGCGCUGUGGUGGGGAGCCCUUGCCUGCCCUCCCCACUUCCUGUGGCUCCACCCUUGUCUCCAUUCCCUACCCCACCCCGCCAGAUGGAGCCAGCCCCCUCUGCGCGUCCACCCAGACAACACUCACCUCCUCUGCCCCCACCCUAUGCCCAGGGGCUAGCAUGUGGGCGCUGCCUGCUGGGCGACUGUGAGGACUGGCUGGGGAGCACGGCUGGGGGCUGUCUCACGUCAGCCUGAGACUGCCUCAGAGCCCUCCCGGUCCCCCUGCUUGGUCACUGCUGCUCUGGCUCUGGCAGACUGCCCCGUCCCAGGACUUGACCUGAAGAGCCUAGAGGGGUCAUCUCAGCCUUGCGUGUGGCCUCCGCCCUGCCCCAUGGCUUGGCUAUGGGUCUGGCAGGCCAACGCUGGACAGGCAUGGGGGCCCCAGGGAGGUGUGUGGAGUCACGUGUGUGUGUGUGUGUGUGUGUGAGAGGGAUUUGGGUGGUUCAGAGAACUCCGAGGGGUGGGAGCCGGAGAGCCUCUGGGGAUGGAUGGGACCAAAGAGGAGGGGGCAGAGGAUGCCGAGUGAGCCUGGGUGUCUGUGUGCGUGGCCGCAGUAGUGGAGGUGUCUUGGGGGCCCGGGGACUGAGGGCUUGUGGGCAGAGCAAGUGCAGAGUGGGGAGUGUGUGCACAGGAAAGCCUGCCUUGAGCUGCUGGGAGGCGGCCCUGAAGAGGCAGCCGACUCCUGGCCCCACAGCAUGCUUCGCUGUCUGGGGGUGAGGGGCAGAUGACUGCUUACAGAGCUGAAGCCUGCAGAAGAGUGGGUCAGCCAGGCCUCAGGCUGGGAAGGAGGGUACUCCACGCAGAAGGCCCAGCAGGUGCGAAGACCAGAGAGGGAAAAGGGCUCAGGAACCACUUUGGGCAAAGUCUGCCGGCACUACGGCUGGUGGGCCUAACCAGGGUGGUCUCCGAGCUUGGAGACAGAAGACAGCCAGACUGGAAGUCUGUGCUGGUCCCAGCCCUAGUUGAAGGAGGACCCUGGAGGGGACUGAAAUUCGGGGUGAGGGGGCAGAGAGCAAUGCCCCCAUGCCUGUGGCAGGGGGGGAUUUUGUUUUGGUAGCUGNNNNNNNNNNNNNNNNNNNNNNNNNNNNNNNNNNNNNNNNNNNNNNGGGGGGGGGGGGAAGAGCCCACCCCCCCCAUGCCUGUGGCGGGAGGACUCUUGGGAGGUAAGCUGCUAGUGGGUGGCCAGUGAACAGCCUCCUGGGGUCGGGGUGCCUGGGUCAGAGGCCAAGUUCUAGAGAAGGGGGUCACUUCUGCGGCGGACACCAGGGAUGAGCAGCUGGCUGUGCCUGAGAUGGGGGCAGGCAAAGGUGAGGACUGGGAAGAAGAUGGGGGAGUCAGGCAUGACCACACUUCCUGUCUGCUUGGCCAAGGCUGGGGUUGUUUGGGGAGCACUUUCUCUGCCUUCUUUCCCCUACACUUGUCCUCUUUACAGCUUUAUUGAGGCAUAAUUUCAUGCCAUAAAACUCACCUAUGCACAUUCCGUGCUUUUUAACCAGUUCACAGAGUUCUGCAACCAUCAGCACAAUCCAGCUAUAGACCAGUCUCUUCACCCACAAAAAUUCCCUCAUGCCCAUCUGCCACACCCCAGUCCCAGCCUCUGUCCAGGUCACCUGCUUCCUGUCUCUGUACACUUGGCUUUCUGAACACUUCCUAUAGAUGAGAAGUAAUAUUCGCUGGAAGGACUGAGCUGACGCUCUACUAUUACAGCCACCUCAUGCAAAGAGCUGACUCGUUGGAAAAGACCCUGACGCUGGGAAAGAUUGAAGGCAGGAGGAGGAGGGGGCCACAGAGGAUGAGAUGGUUGGAUGGCAUCACACUCAAUGGACAUGAGUUUGAGCAAAUUCUGGGAGACGAUGAAGGACAGGGAAGCCUGGCGUGCUGCAGUCCAUGGGGUCGCAAAGAGUUGGACACGACUUAGCAACUGAACAAAACACACCUCGUGGUGUUUUGUAUCCGCCCUCCUCCAUGUCGACCCGAGUCCUUGUAGAUUCCCGGAACUUGUACUGUGGGCUUCCCUGGUGGCUCAGAGGUUAAAGCGUCUGACUGGAAUGCAGGAGAGCCGGGUUCGAUUCCUGGGUGGGGACGAUCCCCUGGAGAAGGAAAUGGCAACCCACUCCAGUACUCUUGCCUGGAGAAUCCCAUGGAGGGAGGAGCCUGGUAGGCUACAGUCCAUGGGGUCGCAGAGUCGGACACGACUGAGCGACUUCACUCACUCACUCACUAGUAAACUUAGUAAGGCUAGCUCUGAAAUUACCCAAACUGCUUUCCAAAGUGGCCGUGCGGAUCCCGCUUUUCAGUGGUAGGAAGAAGGCUGAAGGGGCAGGACAGAGGCAGGCAGGGGUGGGGUUGGGACGAGAUAAGGGGUAAAGCGUUAGCUAGGCAGAAGCUGGAUUGGACAGGAAGGGGCCGGGCGGGGGUCUGCAGGCGUAGGUUUGAGGGGGAGAGUCGCCGGCCGGUCGGGAGGAGCACCUGCCUGCGUGACGCGGGGCUGAUCGGUCUAGGGACGUCCCCUGGUGCCCGGGUGCCGGCCCCCGCGUCUGCGGCCUGGCGCGCACGGCGGGGCCCGGGAGCCCGCAGCGGCCUGGCCCAAGAGGGCUCGAGGAGGCAAGAGGAUCGCUCCCGGGG
rnacentral:lncRNA from 1 species